UACAGAGGUGGCAAGCGUUGUUCGGAAUUACUGGGCGUAAAGGGCGCGUAGGCGGUUCGAUAAGUCCCGUGUGAAAUCCCUCGGCUCAACUGAGGAACUGCACGGGAAACUGACGGGCUUGAGUUCGGGAGAGGGAAGCGGAAUUCCGGGUGUAGCGGUGAAAUGCGUAGAUAUCCGGAGGAACACCGGUGGCGAAGGCGGCUUCCUGGACCGACACUGACGCUGAGGCGCGAAAGCUAGGGGAGCAAACGGG
rnacentral:rRNA from 1 species